rnacentral:tRNA from 1 species
GCAGGAGUUGCCCAGCUUGGUCAAAGGCGCUGGGUUUAGGUCCCAGUACAUAUUGUUUCGUAGGUUCAAAUCCUACCUCCUGCA